rnacentral:ncRNA from 1 species
UAUGAUAGAGGUUGCGGUUGACAAGAGUACGGUACUUUUCAGACAGGUGUCGGUAUCGGAAAGGGGAAAUCGCCGAAGGGGCUGUGUCGUGCCUGCGUGCAGUUACCUGGGACGAAGGAGAAUAUCUUUCGGACUGUCACGAAAGUGGAGAGCUGUC